UGGGGAAUAUUGGACAAUGGGCGCAAGCCUGAUCCAGCCAUGCCGCGUGAGUGAUGAAGGCCCUAGGGUUGUAAAGCUCUUUCGCCAGGGGACGAUAAUGACGGUACCUGGAUAAGAAGCCCCGGCUAACUUCGUGCCAGCAGCCGCGGUAAUACGAAGGGGGCUAGCGUUGUUCGGAAUCACUGGGCGUAAAGCGCACGUAGGCGGAUCUUUAAGUCAGGGGUGAAAUCCCGAGGCUCAACCUCGGAACUGCCUUUGAUACUGGAGGUCUCGAGUCCGGGAGAGGUGAGUGGAACUGCGAGUGUAGAGGUGAAAUUCGUAGAUAUUCGCAAGAACACCAGUGGCGAAGGCGGCUCACUGGCCCGGUACUGACGCUGAGGUGCGAAAGCGUGGGGAGCAAACAGGGUUAGAUACCCUGGUAGUCCACGCCGUAAACUAUGGAUGCUAGCCGUUGGGCAGCUUGCUGCUCAGUGGCGCAGCUAACGCUUUAAGCAUCCCGCCUGGGGGAGUACGGUCGCAAGAUUAAAACUUAAAGGAAUUGACGGGGGUCAUAGCUGUUUCCU
rnacentral:rRNA from 1 species